rnacentral:misc_RNA from 1 species
GCUUUUGCAAGUUGGUUAGGUAUGAGACUGUGGUUUUCUUCUCAGAUGAAAGUUUAGUAAAGAUAUUUUCCUGCGUGUAAUGAUAUACUUUUUUAUGCAAGUUGCAAUUCGCAAAUUUAAAAGUUUCUAAGUUAUUUUUGAAUUGAAGUGAGGUGGAAAUAUAAUGUUUUCAAGAGACUGAUCUUUGUAUAGGGUUCUGUAGUUUUUGAUUUUACCUAGUCUGCAUAUAUUAUGGUUUUAAAUAAUAGUUGUUCACUUGUAUAAUGGCCAUGUAAAGGUAAUAUGUUACCAUGUGACCUAUUAUUUAUUUUGGGAAAAGAAAAAAUAUAGUUAAUGACCAAUAUAUAGAGGUUAGAACUUAAAUGCUCCAAUAUUUUGCAAUUGUUUUAAAAAUUAUUUUUGUGCUUCUCUCCUGCAUUUUAUGCAUAAACCCUAAUUCUCUAACUUUGAAGAUCCGACUUGAUUGUGCUUGCCAAGGGCUAAUUCUAGGUCAAAAAGAUUCCUUUUAGGCUAUUUAUGUUUUUUUUUUAAUAAUUGUACUUCCAGUCUAGUUGUGGUUGAUUGUGUGAAUUAUUUUUCUCCUUUUUUACUUAUAGUUAAAGUGUACAGUUUCAAUGAGGCCUUGAAAGUUGAGAUGCUAUGUCCUUGUUUAUCACUUCAGUUCAUUUCAUUCUUGGUUUACUUUUGUUCUCAGAUCUUAUGACGUGGAUCCUCAAUCUCUAAUGCCAUGUUCUUUUUCCAGUGCACAGAGUACAUGACAAACAUAUAAUUAACUUUCCCUCAGUUUUUCCUUGAUGGAUGUCGCUUUCUCCUUUUUGAGAGUUUACUCCUUUUAAUUAGUGAUAAUGAAAUGUGAUGGAAAGAAACUGAAACUGUAUUCCCCCUGUUUGAAUCCCAUCUUAGGUAAAGGAUGGAUGUUAAAAAGUUUCGGUAAGAUAAAGGGAAUACUAGUAAUAUGAAAAUAUUUCUUUUCAUUUACAUUUUAUUUGCUUCAUUCGGAAUGGCAAUAUGAUUAUCAUGUUUUCCCUUGAUAUCUUUCCUUUUACCUUCCUAUUUUUGUAGUCAAGGAGUGGAUAGUAAAUCUAAAUUCUGUUCUCAUUGUUUCAUUUCUUCCCACCUCCUCCAAUCCCAACAUGGUUUAAGGCUUUGAAAAUGAAUUUUACUUUGAAUUUUAUCAUUGUUUUCCACUACUCACUUUUAUUAUCUUGCCAUUCUAAUGAGACUUAAAAUUUUAAAUAUUCGCUGAAGGCAUCACAGAACAUUAAGGGGUAAGAAAUGAGAUGGGGAUUGUAGGAUUAGCUAUGACGCUUAAAGUUGCGAUGUCAUAGUGGUAGACUUCAUAAGUGAUGUGUGGCAGACCUGGAUGACUUGACUGUCUAGGUGAGGUGUAUAACAUGGUGGUUUGGGUAUUCAUGACUAAUGGGUGCAGAGGAGAUAGUGAUGUGGUUGAGGUGAUGGUUGUGAAGUGUGGAUGAUGUUCUGGCAUUUUAUUGCUGUUGUUUUGUGGUAGUGACAUGCAUCUUUCUCUUUUGUGCAUUGUUCUCUUUUCAAAUAGCUAGUAUAUAAUUUUAGUCAAGAUCUGUUUAAAGUUUUUGGUUCGUAUCUUAGCUUAGCUCACAACUACCAUGCAGUAAAUACUUGUCCUCUUCUAUUUCUGCAUUUGCAGGUAUUGUUCUUUGUCUUGUCUUUAAUGUAAUUGCUGUGCUGGUCAAUUGGAUUAGAGGCGGGGGAGUCAAAAUUUUUCUCCUUGCAUCAAUCUAUGCUCUAUCUGGCAUUCCUAUGUCAUAUGUGUUAUGGUAUAGGCCUCUUUAUCGUGCAAUGAGGACAGAUAGUGCAUUGAAGUUUGGCUGGUUCUUCCUAUUCUACCUACUUCACAUUGGGUUCUGUAUAUUUGCUGCUAUUGCUCCUCCAAUUGUCUUCCAUGGGAAGUCAUUGACUGGCAUACUUCCAGCAAUUGAUGUCAUCUCUGACCAUUUAUUGGUUGGGUUCAGGAAUAGUUUCAAUUCAUCUAAAUAUUGAGUACUUUGUACCUCCAAAUGGCUGAAGUUGGUGCAAUAAUCUGUAGGUAUGUGAUGUUUCAUGAUUAGAAAUGCAAUGAAAUGUGAACACUGAGAAUAAGGAUGAGAAGUAAAAUUUUCUUUGGUCACUGCAUUACAAAAAAUGCUAGGGCAAAGUUUCUUUCUGAGGGAAAUAAUUUCCAUUAAUAGGAACCAAAAAAAAAAAAAAAAGGAUCAGGUGGCAUUAGCUAUCAAUUAUUUAGGUACAAAAAACUCUUGGAGGUAGCAUUCUUCCUGAUUCAUGCCAAUGUCUUGUUGUCAUCUUGUGUCUUAAAUUAUUUUUGGUUUUAAUUCAUAUAAUGUAUUUGUGGCUGAUUCUGGCAGAUUGAGUUCAGCAUCUUUAAAUUGGAUAUUUGAAUUUUUUAAGAUUGUGAUUUUAGAAGAUAAAAGCAAUACUUUUUGAAAAUAAUUUAGGAUAAAUUUUAGUACAUGGAGAUGCUUAAUUAUGCAGUCUUACAGGUUCACUUGGGACAUAAUAUCAUAUGGUUUGCUUUCUUUUAUAAAGCUUUUGAAUGGUUGGGUCCAAUUAAUGUUAUUUGGAUAUUAUGUAGAUUUUCUACCUAGUGGGCUUUGGCUUGUUUUGCUUGGAAUCUCUUCUUAGCUUGUGGGUUCUCCAGGUUAGAUGCAAAUAUCUAUAUUAUUCUUUAACUAUCUAUCAUUACCAAAUCAUAUUUUACACUCAUCUUACCAAAUCAAUUGUAAAGAUUGGAUUGGAAUUGGAUUAGUAUUACCUCCACUCGGUUAUUGUUUCAUUCUCUAAGAAUAUCAAGUUGAUUCAUUUCUUUUCGGGAGGUAUUUAUUUAAUUUCUUUUCCUAGCAGGGAAAAGGUUUAUGACUUGAUUUCCUUUUGUAGGGAUAUAUUGAAUUGAUUUAUUUGCUUGUGGGGCGUUUAUAACACUUGAUUUUUACUUUUGUGGAUUUUCCUUUUCUUUUUUCUUUUCCCUCUUGGUUUUGACCAAAAUGAAUAGAAAUCAUGGAUGAAUCAAUAAAAAUAUCGUGAUACAAAUAUGGCUA